rnacentral:rRNA from 1 species
UACAGAGGGUGCGAGCGUUAAUCGGAAUUACUGGGCGUAAAGCGCGCGUAGGCGGCUUUGCAAGUCGGGUGUGAAAUCCCCAGGCUUAACCUGGGAACUGCAUUCGAGACUGCAUUGCUAGAGUAUGGGAGAGGGAAGUGGAAUUUCCGGUGUAGUGGUGAAAUGCGUAGAGAUCCGGAGGAACACCAGUGGCGAAGGCGACACGCUGGGCCGUACCUGACACUGAUGCGCGACAGCAGUGGGGAGCAAAACGAGG